CAUUGAAAAUACUGUUAUAAAUAAUUUGAAGCACCAAGGGGGUCAAGUAGAAAAAUUAAACUUAUAUUCAAACAGUCAUUCAACAGAUGUUGUGCCAGUGUUCUUAUUACCAAGGAUUUGGAACAUUAUUCUUCUUUACCAAGCUACAUAACUAAUGCUAAUGAAGAGGAGGUUGAACCACCAUUUUUGCACCACCUAUAGAAUGUGUAAAUGAAGAAGUAAAAUCAAUAGCACCAUAUUCUUUGCCGGUAUUAAUUGAUGCUGUGUGUUCGACCUCCAAUGAUGUUUAUGUAUUGAGCACAUAAUAUGAAUGUCGAUUCAAAAGUACAAAAUGUUAUAAUGCUGAAGUACAGCCGUUAACAAAAAAAAUUAGGAAUGUACAAGGUAUGUAAAAUGUUCUUACUAAAAUUAAUAUUAACUUGUGAUUUAAAUCCAAUAUUACAAUCAAAUACCUAGGUACUGUAAAUUAACAAUUUUUCAGAUCAUAUAGAUAAGUUUUCUACAUCUAAUACUAAAAUGUCAUUAGAUGAUUUUUCAACUAAAUAUUAUUAUUUGGAAUAUUUUGAUCAAUAAUGUUCUACAUUUUCAGACCAGUAGCUUAUUAAAAAUAACUUAUAAAUAUUUAAAGCUUAGAUGAGCGGAGUAGUGGAACAACAUUGUACGGAGUAUCCCAGUACCACUUCCAUUCACCUAAGAUUUGAAUACUUAUCAGUAAUAAGUUAUCAAUCAUAAAAUACUCGUAAAAAAUUCAAUCUAAGUUCUGCUUUAAAAUAUAGAACUAAUAAUGUACCCAUGUUGUCAUUAAUAAAGUAAACAUUAAAAAAUGAUAAUGAUAAAAAAAAAAAAUAAAUAUCCAAUACUUAUACUUUUUUUAGAAAUCUUGAUUAACUAUCCACCCUUAACUGACAGAACACAUUUGAAUAUCUUCUGAACUAUCUUCAAAAUAACCUAUAUAUUUUUUAUAGACAAAUCCAAACAUUCCAAAAUAUUUUUCAAUAUUAUCAAUUUUUUCUAAAAGAUUUUCCAACUCAUUCUUUGUUCUAAUAGGCUUAUUAUAUUUGUAUUUUUUUCCAUAUAUUUGUAUAACUGGCACAAGGCUAUUAUAAAAAUACAUUUUUUUCACGGUUUCUUCAAAAAACAUUUUUUUUACUAAAAGCUGUUGAACUUUGUGCCCGAAGCUCUGAAAUAUUAUAAAAUAAACUAGGAAGUUGAAUUUUUUUAGAAAUUUCAAAAAUAAAUCCGCUAACUUCCUUAGAAUAUUUAUCCUGCAUUUUUAAUUUUGAAGUUACUUCCUGUUGUACUGUAACGAUCUUAACUGUGAUAUAGCUUCCAUAUUAUACACAGAAUUGUAAAAACUAUUUGCAGAGAUAUUUUAAGUUUUUAGUAGUAACGAAUUACUAACAAAAAAAUCAUCAAUGGAAGUGAAAGUAUCAUGUGUAGAACAUGUAUCUGUAUUAUAUGAAAGAUUAUUGGUUUAUAGUAAUUGAUUAUAAUAUUGGAUUUAAAUCACAAGUAAAAAUUUGUCUUAGUAAGAAAAUUUUACAUUGUAACGUAAUACAUUGUUAAUUCUCUUUAUUGACGACUGUUCAACAGCUUUAUUUUAUUUUGUGCUUUUGAAUCAACUUUCAUAAUAUGUGCUCAAUACAGGAAUAUCAUUAGGUGCUGACCGCACAGUAUUAGUACCAAUUAAUGCUGUGUGGUCGUCAACAAAAUUGAACCAAUUGAGAGGUCUUCUGUCCAACUCAAGUUGUUCUAAGUAUUAUAUGGAAACUAUAUCACAGCGAAGACCGUAACGGUAUAACAGGAAGCAACAUCAACUUUAAAUGCAGGACAAAUUGACAUCUAAUUCAGUUAUUCGACCAGAAUUCAUCGACAAUAAAAUUUAUAUCUUCUACAAAUAAAUAAAGAUCAUAUGAAUUCUCAGAAAUAAAGAGUCCAAUAAUUACAAAAUAUAUAUCAUUAGAAUGAAAGACAAAUACCCUUAAUUUCAAUUCAGAUAAUAGUACAAAUAAAUACUUCACCAUAUAAGAUAAUUUAUGAUGGUAAUACUAAAGAAUUUAAAAAGGAAGUUAACGGAUUUAAAAUAAAUAUGAAUUAUAAUUAUAAUUAUAAAUAUGAAAUUUCUAAAACUUUUGUAAUUCCUAGUUUAUUUUGUAGUGCUUCAAAGUUUCGGGCACAAAAUGCAACAGCUUUUAGUAAAAAAAUUUUUUUUUGAAGAAACCGUGAAAAAAAUUCAUUUUUAUAACGGCCUUGUUUUGGUUAUACAAAAAUAUGGAAAAAAAUACAAAUAUAAUAAGCCUAUUAGAACAAAGAAUGAGUUGGAAAAUCUUUUAGAAAAAAUUGAUAAUAUUGAAAAAUAUUCUGGAAUGUUUGGAUUUGUCUAUAAAAAAUGUAUAGGUUAUUUUGAAGAUAGUUCAGAAUAUAUUUAUGCCUUCAUUACCUGGGUGUCAUCAUGAACCAGAGGUUUACGUUAACCAAACAUAUGGAAAUAGUCGCCAAAAAACUCUUCCGCUGCGCCGCCGCACUGACUAGGCUCAUGCUAACGUUAGAGGUCCAUGCCAGUGGAAACGAAGACUGUACCUGUUUGGAUUAAUCAUGUGGUGGCCUCAGGCAGGACAAUGGUCAAAUUGAUAUGACCGCAGAUGACAGCAACGCUCAGGGUCAUCUCAGCGUAUCGUUCAGUUUCCGAUGAGGCUUUGCUGUUUCUGAUACCUUCGGCCGACCUCCUAGGUGGAUCCUUGUGGAUUAGGGCUUGCCUGUGCGCUCUUAUCCUUCCCAGAGAUCCAGCCGAUCUGCCCAAGUAUGCUAUUAGAAGAGAGGAACGCAAAACAACGAUUGUUUAAAUGUACAAAGACAGCACGGUUACCGGACGUCAUUCCUGACGUAGGAUGUGGAUAGUGAGAUCGAUACCGAAGGUGGAACUGACAUCACAUUACCCAGGCACUGGAGGGGUAUGGCUGCUUCCAGCACUACCUGCACCGCAUGGAGUGCAAGGAACAAUCACUAUGAGAGCAAUGCCAAUACUUCAGAACACAUAUUGUUUGAAUGCGAGUACUAGAGCAAUAUAAGGGAGGGGAUAGGCGCGCACCUCAAGCCGCUUACUGACCUCUGAGUCUUACCCUCCACUACAACUGUGUACCCUUGCAUUAGAGGGUCUACACUCUGACUCGAAAGAAAAGAUGACAGUCCUCAGGACGCUGAAGAAUUUCCGGGUGUUCUACGUGAUUUUGGAAAACAUCCUGACUGCGAAGAAUGGCAGAGCAGACGGCCGAAGGUUAUACAGUUAUAUAGUCUGCCAACCCCCGUCCCAACAAGGUGUACGAGUUAAUAAGAGGGGUGUACUUAGGCCGGCUCUCAAAAAGGAGAGUCAGAAUGAAAUGUCAAGGACAGAGGAUAUUUGAACAACAGUUCAUUGAAAGUAAAUAUUAUGCAAUAUCCAUAUUUCGUCAUCUAAAUCAAGAAUAAGUUCAUCCCAUUUUCAACAACUGGAAGUCUGCUCCAUAUUCUGGGUUUAAAUAUAUCGAUCAAAAUGAGUGCUUUAACCAAUUAUUUUGACUGUAAGCAAAAUACUAUGUAUUUAUGUACAAACCACAUUUAAUGUCACAUAUUCCAGACAACCAUAAUAUACCUAUUAUUUUCACAAUAAUAUAUGAUUAUUUACUAGAAACUUAUGUAGGUGCACGAAAAUUAAAAAUUUAUUGAAAAAUACGAACGGGUGUUCGUAAAAAAAAAAAUUAUUGAAAAUUUCCAGAUGGACAAAAUAAAUACAGUGCCAAUUUAGUUAUUCCAAACACUGUAAAAAAUAAAUUCACUUUAUUAAAAUAUAUACUACCUAGCUUACCUAUUAGUUAAAUACUAUUUAUUUAUG